AGUGAACGCUGGCGGUAGGCCUAACACAUGCAAGUCGAACGGCAGCACAGUAAGAGCUUGCUCUUACGGGUGGCGAGUGGCGGACGGGUGAGGAAUACAUCGGAAUCUACUUUUUCGUGGGGGAUAACGUAGGGAAACUUACGCUAAUACCGCAUACGACCUACGGGUGAAAGCAGUGGAUCUUCGGACCUUGCGCGAUUGAAUGAGCCGAUGUCGGGUUAGCUAGUUGGCGGGGUAAAGACCCACCAAGGCGACGAUCCGUAGCUGGUCUGAGUGGAUGGUAAGCGACACUGGAACUGAGACACGGUCCAGACGCCUAAGGGAGGGAGCAGUGGGGAAUAUUGGACAAUGGGCGCAAGCAUGAUACAGCCAUACCGCGUGGGUGAAGAAGGCCUUCGGGUUGUAAAGCCCUUUUGUUGGGAAAGAAAAGCAGCAGGUUAAUACGCCGCUGUUCUGACGGUAACCAAAGAAUAAGUACCGGCUAACUUCGUG
rnacentral:rRNA from 1 species